rnacentral:rRNA from 1 species
GUCUUAGGGACUCGGCGUACCGCUCAGUAACACGUGGGUAACCUGCCCUAUGCUGGGGAAUAACCUCGGGAAACUGAGAAUAAUGCCCCAUAGUCCACAAUGCCUGGAACGGUUUGUGGAUCAAAGCUCCGGCGGCAUAGGAUGGGCCUGCGGCGUAUCAGGUUGUAGGGGGUGUAACGUACCCUCUAGCCAUCAACGCGUACGGGUGUUGGGAGACAUAGCCCGGAGAUGGAUUCUGAGACACGAAUCCAGACCCUACGGGGUGCAGCAGGCGCGAAAACUUGGCAAUGCGAGAAAUCGUGACCAGGGAACUCCAAGUGGCUGGGGUAAGACCCAGUCUUUUCUUGACUCUUCAAAGGUCUUGGAAUAAGGGGUGGGUAAGGACGGUGCCAGCCGCCGCGGUAAUACCGGCGCCUCAAGUGGUAGUCGAUUUUAUUGGGCCUAAAACGUCCGUAGCCUGUUUGGUACAUUCGUGGGUAAAUCAACCAGCUCAACUGGUUGAAUUCUGCGAGCACGGCCAGACUUGGGACCGGGAGGGGUGUGGGGUACGCUCAGGGUAGGGGUAAAAUCCUGUCAUCCUGAGCGGACCACCUGUUGCGAAGGCGCCACACUAGAACGGAUCCGACGGUCAGGACGAAGCCUAGGGCACGAAACCGGGAUUAGAUACCCGGGUAGUCCUAGUGUAA